UACGAAGGGGGCUAGCGUUGCUCGGAAUCACUGGGCGUAAAGCGCACGUAGGCGGACUCUUAAGUCGGUGGUGAAAUCCUGGAGCUCAACUCCAGAACUGCCUUCGAUACUGAGAGUCUCGAGUCCGGGAGAGGUGAGUGGAACUGCGAGUGUAGAGGUGAAAUUCGUAGAUAUUCGCAAGAACACCAACGGCGAAGGCAGCUCGCUGGGACGGUACUGACGCUGAGACGCGAAAGCGUGGGGAGCGAACAGG
rnacentral:rRNA from 1 species